GCUUCCGUGGCUCAGUUGGCAGAGCAAUUGAUUCGUAAUCAAUAGGCUGAGGGUUAGAGUCCCUUCGGAAGCU
rnacentral:tRNA from 1 species